rnacentral:pre_miRNA from 2 species
UUUUAUGGAUGAGCAAAGGAAGUGGUUUCCUGAGACAGAAUCUACUCCUGGUGAAGAUGCUGUGAA